UACGUAGGUGGCAAGCGUUGUCCGGAAUUAUUGGGCGUAAAGCGCGCGCAGGCGGUUUCUUAAGUCUGAUGUGAAAGCCCACGGCUCAACCGUGGAGGGUCAUUGGAAACUGGGAAACUUGAGUGCAGAAGAGGAGAGUGGAAUUCCACGUGUAGCGGUGAAAUGCGUAGAGAUGUGGAGGAACACCAGUGGCGAAGGCGACUCUCUGGUCUGUAACUGACGCUGAGGCGCGAAAGCGUGGGGAGCGAACAGG
rnacentral:rRNA from 1 species